rnacentral:lncRNA from 10 species
ACAUAUGCCUUGAGUUGCUCUUCAGUGAAUAUCACUUUUCCUUUCAUGUUUUUUCUACAUGCUAUUAUCUGUAUGAAAUGAAGACCAAGAAAGGAUGGGAAGAAGGAGAAGAAAAAUUUUGAUUUAUCUCAGAAACUAUACUCCGAAGUGAGAGUCCUGGUUGCAGAUUUUAACAGAUGAAACAAUUAGCCAAACAUAGUGGUGGUGCAUGCCUGUAGUCCC